ACGGUCUCAUCACGUUGAAACACCGGUUCUCGUACGAUCACCGAAGUUAAGCAAUGUCGAGCCUGGUCAGUAGUCUAGAUAGGUACCCGCUUGGGAAUAUCAGGUACUGUAUU
rnacentral:rRNA from 1 species